rnacentral:rRNA from 1 species
AGAACGAACGCUGGCGGCAGGCCUAAUACAUGCAAGUCGAACGCACUCUUCGGAGUGAGUGGCAGACGGGUGAGUAACGCGUGGGAACCUUCCCAAUGGUACGGAAUAACUCCGGGAAACCGGUGCUAAUACCGUAUAAGCCCCUCGGGGGAAAGAUUUAUCGCCAUUGGAUGGGCCCGCGUCGGAUUAGCUAGUUGGUAAGGUAAUGGCUUACCAAGGCUACGAUCCGUAGCUGGUCUGAGAGGAUGAUCAGCCACACUGGGACUGAGACACGGCCCAGACUCCUACGGGAGGCAGCAGUAGGGAAUCUUGGGCAAUGGGCGAAAGCCUGAUCCAGCCAUGCCGCGUGAGUGAAGAAGGCCUUAGGGUUGUAAAGCUCUUUUGGCGGGUACGAUAACGACGGUACCCGCAGAAUAAGCCCGGCUAACUUCGCGCCAGCAGCCGC